CACACUUGGUUAGUGCUCUGUCAUCACCAUCUUGAAAUGCUUAGUGAUUUUUGAACUAGAGGCCUCUGGUUUUCAGUUUGUACAGGACCCCACAAAUGAUGUCACCAGCACUUCUCCCUUCUAGAGUUUUUAGUACAGAAGGAGUCAUUAACCCACUGAAGGUCAUGAACAGGCUGGCAAGGGAGGAAGGCCACACCCUUAAAGUUAAACAUGAAAUUUCUCAUGCAUGUUCAUUUUGGGAGAGAGAACUCCCAGCUUCCAUCAGAUACUCAAAGGGAUCCAUGAAUCCAAAAGGGAUACAGCUCAUUGAUUUACUUGUGACCACCCAUUCUGAUAUUGAGGAAUAGUUAGAUGAUGGAGUAACCUUUUAUCUUUUUCAGCUUCCUGUUAUCCUGUAUUUAUCAAUAGUCUUAGCAUUAGUGGCAACAUUCUUUCCAGAAAAUGGAAAUAAUAAUAAUUAUUAUUAAGUGUUAUUACUAUUAUUAAUAAUAAUAAAUAAAAAUAAGUAGAAAAGAAAGAUUAUAAGCCAAAGAUUUUCUUUGGUUUGUUUUCAUUUCUGAAGGAUACCUAAAAUCGUGUAUUUACCUCUACCAACAGAGUUUUUUAAAUCGCUCCCCCCCCAAAAAAAAAACAAAAAACAAAGGCAAUACUUCUGAUUUAUACGAAUGCAUUCAGUUUAAUGUUUUUCACCAGGUUGCAUGAAUUCAAUUUCUUUGUUUCAGAGACCAGCUUGGGUUAUAAGGGUACUUUUCAAUAAUCAUUAUUACAUCAUAAAAUAUUCUGUACCCAGAAUAUAUUCAUAAUAAUAAAUAUGAAUAUGUGUAUUCUAGAAUAAAUAAUGUUAAUUGCUAUUUUUAAUCUUCUAAUUAAUUUAUUCAAUAAUUACUUAUUACUAUCAUUUUAGAGCCUGGGCUUAUUUAUAACUAGAAGAAAACUAAAUUUCAAAGGUAGGUUCUCAAUUCCAUUUAAAACAACCCCCAAUUAAUUUCCAAGCUGCUGAACACAAAUGAUGAAAUUUUUAUCUCCUGGUGCAAAAUUUCCUGGACAUUGUUUGCGCUCAGAAAACAAUUACAUACCCAUGAAAAGAGAAUUAUCCACUUUAAGAAUAAUAGGAGUAAAAAUAGGCAUCUGGAUUUAUAGUGAGAUGGUUUCUUGUUCUCUCCUGGCGAGGCGCUAAUGUCUCCACACGCCUAGCCUAGCUGUGCGAACCAUGAGGUCCCUGGCUCUCUGAGCAAUGAGACAAGCGUUCCCUGUGUCUCCCGGGGCUCUCCCAGGGCGACCCCACAUGGGGACCUCCCGACUCUGUUUAUUCUCAGAGUGAGCAAUUGCAUACAAAUGGAAGAUAUUAGGAUAUAGGCCGCCAGCACAGAAUACAGAGACAACACAGAAGAAGAUAUUUCUAUGAAAACAAAAUAUUAAUUCUACUCUAAAUCCAGGAUGGAGUUUCCAAAGUGGAAAAUCAUUCCUGGAAAGAAUCAGAGGUAGUUGGUUUAAUUCCAUUUUCACAUUUACCAACACAAAGUCCUGUCUCUUCUAAGGGCAAGAAUGUACCCGAGGCACACAGACUAUUUCUUGAGACAAAAGCAAGUGUUUCUCGUUUGCCACUUAAUAUCCUUUUAAUUUGCCAGACAGUUUUCUCUUCUCCUUAUGCAAGAAAGAAAGAGAAGGAGAGAAAGAAGAGGGGCAGGAGGAGGGAGGAAGGGAGGGAGAGAGAGGGAGAGAAAGAAAGAAAGAAAGAAAGAAAGAAAGAAAGAAAGAAAGAAAGAAAGAAAGAA
rnacentral:lncRNA from 1 species